UACAGAGGGUGCGAGCGUUAAUCGGAAUUACUGGGCGUAAAGCGUGCGUAGGCGGUCAUGUAAGUCGGGUGUGAAAGCCCCGGGCUCAACCUGGGAAUUGCAUUCGAGACUGCAUGGCUUGGGUGCGGAAGAGGGAAGCGGAAUUUCCGGUGUAGCGGUGAAAUGCGUAGAUAUCGGAAGGAACACCAGUGGCGAAAGCGGCUUCCUGGUCCGACACUGACGUUCAGGCACGAAAGCGUGGGGAGCAAACAGG
rnacentral:rRNA from 1 species